CCUACGGGCGGCAGCAGUGAGGAAUAUUGGUCAAUGGGCGCGAGCCUGAACCAGCCAAGUAGCGUGAAGGAUGACUGCCCUACGGGUUGUAAACUUCUUUUAUAAAGGAAUAAAGAGAGGCACGUGUGCCUUGUUGUAUGUACUUUAUGAAUAAGGAUCGGCUAACUCCGUGCCAGCAGCCUCGGUAAGACGGAGGAUCCGAGCGUUAUCCGGAUUGAUUGGGUUUAAAGGGAGCGUAGAUGGGUUGUUAAGUCAGUGGUGAAAGUUUGCGGCUCAACCGGAAAAUUGCAAUUGAUACUGGCAGUCUUGAUUACAGUUGAGGUAGGCGGAAUUCGUGGUGUAGCGGUCACAUGCUUCGAUAUCACGCACAACUCCGAUUGCGACGGCAGCUUACUAAACUGCCACUGACAUUGCUGCUCGAAAGUGUGGGUAUCAAACAGGAUUAGCUACCCCUGUAGUC
rnacentral:rRNA from 1 species